rnacentral:rRNA from 1 species
UACAGAGGAGGCAAGCGUUGUUCGGAAUUACUGGGCGUAAAGGGCGCGUAGGCGGCCUUCUAAGUCGAACGUGAAAUCCCCGGGCUCAACCCGGGAACUGCGUCCGAUACUGGAAGGCUUGAAUUCGGGAGAGGGAUGCGGAAUUCCAGGUGUAGCGGUGAAAUGCGUAGAUAUCUGGAGGAACACCGGUGGCGAAGGCGGGUCUCUGGGCCGAUACUGACGGCUGAGGAGCGAAAGCGUGGGGAGCGAACAGG